rnacentral:rRNA from 1 species
GACAGAGGGUGCAAACGUUGUUCGGAAUUACUGGGCGUAAAGCGCGUGUAGGCGGCCAUGCAAGUCGGAUGUGAAAGCCCUCGGCUCAACCGGGGAACUGCAUGGGAAACUGCGGAGCUUGAGUCCGGGAGAGGAGAGCGGAAUUCCCAGUGUAGCGGUGAAAUGCGUAGAUAUUGGGAGGAACACCGGUGGCGAAGGCGGCGAUCUGGGCUGAUACUGACGCUGAGGUGCGAAAGCGUGGGGAGCAAACAGG